UCGUGGCCUCGAGAGUGGAUGGCUGGAAUCUGGAAGGCCUCUGUGCUGUGGGUCCUUGAUUAAGUCGGUGUCCUCGCACUUUACCCCAGUCCACGCAUCCAAGCCCCAGAUCUCUCCUUUCUCUCUCUUUCGAAUUUCCUCUUCGUCUUGCUAGGCACCGUCGGCGGCCUCGCUCGGGUCGCAGCGUUGCCCCACAAAUCUGCUUGCCCAGCCAUGUCUCUGUCCGCUGUCACCACCAUCCAGCUCAGGGAGCAACCCUGACGUUCUCCCCGUCUCCUUGCCCCCAGAUCUGGACAACGCCUCCAGUUCGGACGCGGCUGCCCACACACUGACGUGUGGGCCCGGACCCACCCGUCAGCGGCCCAACGGCAGGGGGCCGUACGUCAGGGGACCUCCAGUUCAUAGAUUUGGAGGGGAAUAUGAGUCGAGGGGCGGGAUCGGAGACAAGCCAAAGAGAGGUUCUGGUCGGCUCUAGGGCGGAAGCUUUGAUAGUGGAAGGCCGGGUUGGGUGUUGGAGUAUUCUCUCUAUCUGUUUAGUUGAUAUUGUGAUGGCGGCGCAAGUCUGGUAAUUGGGGAGGAGAGGUGAGGACGUCACAGAUGGAUGGAAGCGGCAACAGAAGCAGAUUCAUUUUCCAAUCAUUUCUGGAUCAUCAAACUUGCACAAGUACAACAAGGGAUUCAAAGAAAGAAUGAUACAUGGGCUAACUUAUGUGAACCAGAAGCUUGAUUGAUCGGGGCAUCAGGGCUUGGGAUUUCUUCCUGCAGGUUUUGUGAACUCCGUUGUGACUUGCAAGACACCACCCCCAAGCAUAUAUUAGUUGCGACUUGCCAGCAUGUAUGUGAGGGUCUUCUUUCUGGUUCAGUUUUUUUUAUUCGGUCUGUAAGGAUUUCAUUUGGUUCCUUGAUCCCUUCGUGCAAGUUUUGUGAACUCCGUCUGAAGAGGGAGUUCGAGUACAAUUUCAGUUCAGGCAUAGCCGAUACAAUAUCUUCUUUCUUUGGUACUUUAUCAUUGUUAGCCGAAUUCAGAACCCCAUAGCAUGUCAAAUUACAUGAUAUUUUUUAUAAUAUUUUCCUAGUACAACUAUAGGGAAAAAUACACCAAAUUAUGUCCAAGUAACCAUAUGGUGUGCCUGAAUUCAAAAACCCCGUCUAUUUUGUUUGAAGGCAUAUGGUGUGAAAUUACCUUACCAGAUUGAGUCUUAGCCUAAUGAUUUAAGAACUUGAAAUCAUUUGUAGAUUGAGGUUGCAUAUCCAAACCUGAAAGUAUUGCUAGAAUGAAUGAACUGCUAGCAUCCAGUGCAUGAGAAUCUGAGAUUUAUUUUGGUGGCAUGACGUUUUAGAGAGCAGUUGCCAUUAAUUUUGAUUGUACACCCCUUCUGGUUUCCUCCUCUUGAAUGCCCAUUUGGGUUAUUUCUUAUGAUGAAAGAGGUUUUGUCUGGUACUAAAGAUCUUAGUUUUGUUUUGAGUGACUUCAACUUUCAUUAUAGACUGAUGAGAAUUGUCUUCAAGAAGGUUUGAUUGGAGUUUCUCUUGAUUGGAUGAUCUCAAGUUGCCUCUUUUGUAAAUGAUUCGAAUGUCUCGGAAGUCUGGUUAAGACUAAGCAAUGCAUGGAAACUGAGUCGUUCACGGGAAACUACUUUUAUACUUCCUCCAUCCCUAGAUUCUUGUCUUAGAUUUGUUUAGAUACAGAUGUAUCUAAUACUAAAACGUGACUUGAUACAUCCGUAUUUAGACAAAUGUAAGACAAGAAUUUUGGGACGGAGGGAGUAGAUAUUAAACUCCAUCACACAUGGAUGACCAUGAUUCCUUUUCAUGUAGCAAUUAGCAUUCCCCUUGCAUUACUUUCUUUAGGUAGCUCAUAAAUGGAGAGAAGAAAGGUUUUAUCCAGUUUUAUGAAGUCUUUUUUGUUAUGCCUGAGUGUUUAAUAUAUCACUCAUAAUAUUUUAUGUUUCUCUUUAUGUCUUGGUGCAAAGAAGCAGGGUCAGUUUCAGAGCUACCCGCUCUCCCACACACACAUGGGCUAAGAGAAAUGCAGUUGGAGGGGAUAAUUGUAGAAAUAAAUAUAUAUUUAUUUUAGUAGUAUUCAUACUAGCGUUGUGCUUAUGUUUAAAGCUUCAGACUCUGAUUUUGAGCAUCCGGUGAAUUGUCUUGACUCUUAUUACAAAAACAAGCGAUAUGUUCAGGAAACAUUUUACUUCGAUGUUAUCCUCCCAUAUGAAAAUCUUUUUUUAGGUUAAUUAUGCCAACAAGCACCAUAUGUCAUUUUUAGUAACGAGUUUUAUCCAAAUUAUGAAGUAAACAUGUUCAUACAUCGUAACUGUAGCUCUUCUCCAAUAUGUUAAUGUUGUUUUCUCAUUUAUAUCCUGCUAAAUAUAUGUGGCUAUGAAAGGCAUUAACUUUUCA